GCGAAAGCCUGACGGAGCAACGCCGCGUGAGUGAUGACGGCCUUCGGGUUGUAAAACUCUGUGAUCCGGGACGAAAAGGCAGAGUGCGAAGAACAAACUGCAUUGACGGUACCGGAAAAGCAAGCCACGGCUAACUACGUGCCAGCAGCCGCGGUAAUACGUAGGUGGCAAGCGUUGUCCGGAACUAUUGGGCGUAAAGCGCGCGCAGGCGGCUUCCCAAGUCCCUCUUAAAAGUGCGGGGCUUAACCCCGUGAUGGGAAGGAAACUGGGAAGCUGGAGUAUCGGAAAGGAAAGUGGAAUUCCUAGUGUAGCGGUGAAAUGCGUAGAGAUUAGGAAGAACACCGGUGGCGAAGGCGACUUUCUGGACGAAAACUGACGCUGAGGCGCGAAAGCGUGGGGAGCAAACAGGAUUAGAUACCCUGGUAGUCCACGCCGUAAACGAUGGAUACUAGGUGUAGGAGGUAUCGACCCUCCUGUGCCGGAGUUAACGCAUAAGUAUCCGCCUGGGA
rnacentral:rRNA from 1 species